rnacentral:lncRNA from 1 species
UGAAUUGGUUUUUGUUAAUUUUCGAUUCCUUAAUUAUGUUAAUUGAUGAGUGAGUGAUUUAGAACAAUACACAAUACAAACAACAAGAAGUAUAGUGGUUCGGUGCUCUCCUAUGCACCUACGUCCACUCUCCAAGCGACCCUUUGGAAAUUCACUAUAAUCUCGCGGAUUACAGUUGGAUUGUUUUCCGGGCUCACAAUCCAAAAAUCUUUACACUUGGUUUUCCGGGAUCACCAAAAACCUAUAUUGGAUUUACGGGCUCACCAACAAACCUUCACCGUUGGUUUUAUGGGUUCACCAACAAACCUACACCGUUGGUUUUAUGGGCUCACCAACAAACCUUACAAGAUUUUAAGAAAAAGAAGAAGGUUGAAACUCCUAGAUGAGCAGAU